rnacentral:rRNA from 1 species
UGGGGAAUAUUGCACAAUGGGGGAAACCCUGAUGCAGCGACGCCGCGUGAGCGAAGAAGGUUUUCGAAUCGUAAAGCUCUGUCCUAUGAGAAGAUAAUGACGGUAUCAUAGGAGGAAGCCCCGGCUAAAUACGUGCCAGCAGCCGCGGUAAUACGUAUGGGGCGAGCGUUGUCCGGAAUUAUUGGGCGUAAAGGGUACGUAGGCGGUCUAUUAAGUCAGGUGUGAAAGCGUGAGGCUUAACCUCAUUAAGCACUUGAAACUGAUAGACUUGAGUGAAGGAGAGGAAAGUGGAAUUCCUAGUGUAGCGGUGAAAUGCGUAGAUAUUAGGAGGAAUACCGGUGGCGAAGGCGGCUAUCUGGACAGUAACUGACGCUGAGGCGCGAAAGCGUGGGUAGCAAACAGG